rnacentral:rRNA from 1 species
UUUAGUGUUUACGGCACAAUGGUUUAGGUCGGGUGGCUUGCGUUGUUCACCCCUUAAUGCGGCGUUAUGUUCUUAUAGGUUAUGUAAUGAAAGAUUCGACUAAAGAGUGGUUAGGCAUUAAGCCUGCUGACUUUAUUAUG